GACGAACGCUGGCGGCGUGCUUAACACAUGCAAGUCGAGCGGAAAGGCCCUUUGGGGUACUCGAGCGGCGAACGGGUGAGUAACACGUGAGUAACCUGCCCUGGACUUUGGGAUAACCCUCGGAAACGGGGGCUAAUACCGGAUAUGACUGCUUCUCGCAUGGGGGGUGGUGGAAAGUUUUUCGGUCUGGGAUGGGCUCGCGGCCUAUCAGCUUGUUGGUGGGGUGAUGGCCUACCAAGGCGACGACGGGUAGCCGGCCUGAGAGGGCGACCGGCCACACUGGGACUGAGACACGGCCCAGACUCCUACGGGAGGCAGCAGUGGGGAAUAUUGCACAAUGGGCGGAAGCCUGAUGCAGCGACGCCGCGUGAGGGAUGACGGCCUUCGGGUUGUAAACCUCUUUCAGCAGGGACGAAGCGGCUGGGUUUUCCCGGUCGUGACGGUACCUGCAGAAGAAGCGCCGGCCAACUACGUGCCAGCAGCCGCGGUAAGACGUAGGGCGCGAGCGUUGUCCGGAUUUAUUGGGCGUAAAGAGCUCGUAGGCGGCUUGUCGCGUCGUCCGUGAAAACUUGGGGCUCAACUCCAAGCUUGCGGUCGAUACGGGCAGGCUGGAGUUCGGUAGGGGAGACUGGAAUUCCUGGUGUAGCGGUGAAAUGCGCAGAUAUCAGGAGGAACACCGGUGGCGAAGGCGGGUCUCUGGGCCGAUACUGACGCUGAGGAGCGAAAGCGUGGGGAGCGAACAGGAUUAGAUACCCUGGUAGUCCACGCUGUAAACGUUGG
rnacentral:rRNA from 1 species